rnacentral:lncRNA from 1 species
AGGUGCGGGUGCUGCCCGAUCACGGACCGUCCGCAGUUGAGACGAAGCGUCCCUCCCCACAGGAUCCCUCAGGCUGCCCCUCUGCAGCCCCACCUGGCCCUCGCCGGCCACCUCCUCCCUGACCUGGGCAACGGUGGUCUCUCCCUGUUUCUGCCUGUAAAGCGUCCACACAGCCCGACGGGAUACGGCGUGAUUGGCAUCAUUCGGGUCCCGCCCGCCCGGCGCCUUGCGUGCAGCGCUGGCUCACGUCGCUCUUGGCUGCGCGGGGCCCGCAGGUUGCUGGACCCAGGCUCGUUCACCCGCUGCCCUCGAGGAGCCAUGGUCGGUCCGGUCUGGGGCUGCCGGAAAUGUGUUCAUCUCGCGUGGUGUGAACCGAGCUGUCCGUUUCUCUGGAUAGAUGCUCUGAGCUGUGGUUGAGCCUCAUGGUGGCGGCCCAGGUUUUCCGAAGUUGCCCGAGGUUUCCCGGUAGCUGCCCCCGGUUACGUUCCCCUGAGCCGGGCCUGAGCGACCCAUGUGGUCAGUAGCUGGCAGCGCUGUCACUGCUCUUUCUUUUGGGUCGCACCCGUGGCAUGUGUAGGGUCCCGGGCCAGGGGGCCGGUUGGAGCUGCAGCCGCCGCCUCCGCCACAGCCUCAGCAAGGACCCAGGGACCCGCAUCCUCAUGCUAGUCGGAGUCGCUGUGCCGCAGCGGGAGCUCCCAGCCGUGGGGGCUCUGCUUACUCAGCCGCCCUGAGAGGCGAGGAGGCCUGGUUCCUGUGGUGGGACGUGCGUUUCCCUGGCAGCUGCUGUCGCUCCUCUUGCCACCUGCAGCCGCUGUCUGAGCCUCCUCUGCGGGCAGGUGUCGCUUCACUUUCUGCCCGUUUCCUGAUUGGAUCCCGUGGCUUUUUUUCACUCCCGAGUGUGGAGCCUUGUUCGUGUGUUCUGGAGACGCGUCCUUGGGCGGACGUGUGGUUGCACCUGCUUUCUCCCAGGCCGUUUCCUCUUAACAGAGAAGAAACGCAGAGCAGAGCAGGAUUUUUCAUUUUGAUGAGGUCCGAUUUAUUCAUUUUUCCUUUUGUGGCUCUUAGUUUGGGUGUCACACGGAACAUGUAACUCUUUGCCUGACCCUGGGGCCUGAAGGUUUUCCUGUUUCUUUUGGAAAGUUUUAGAGUUGAAGCGUGUGACCGGUUUUGAGUUACCUUUGCAUCCGAGGUGAAGUCCACCAGGUUCCUGUCAUCUGUCUGCGGCUGUCCAGUUGCUGCAGCGUCCUCUGUUGACAAGACUGCGUGGCUUUCUGACCACUUGUGCGAGCGCGUGCUUCUGGGUUCGCAUCCGUCAAGUCCUGUGACUCCGCUUCCACCGCCAGCACCCUGUCCUCUCUGUGGUCGGCUUGGAAGCGGGGUCACUGAUUCCUCCAGCUUUGAAACUUUUUUCAAAGUCGUUCUAGCUGUUACAGCGUCUUUGUCUUUCUCUAUACAUUUGCGAGCCAUCUUGUCUGGAUCUACAGACGUUCUUGCUGGGAAUUUGCUGGGAGUCGCUUGAGGCCUGAUUGUCGAUGAUGGCGAGUCGACAUCUUUCUGUGGAACCUUCCAGCCUGGGAACACGCGGUGUGUCUCGCCACUGCCCAGAGCGCCUGUGAUUUCUCUCGGCAUCGUGGCGUCUCCCCGACGCGGUGCUGUGGGCGAGUUGGGUUAUAUCUGUCCCUGAGCGCGUCACUGCUCUUCGAGGGAUCCUAAGUGCUGCUCUCUUCCGACGUCGGUGUGUGCAUUCGUCUGCUAAGGCCGCGAUGAUGAGGCAUCUCAGCCUGGCGGCCUACGCAGCGCCAGUCUCUCCUGCGCCCGUCUGGAGGCUGAGGUCUGGGGUGCGGGUCUCGGCGGUUCGGUCUCUCCCGAGGCCUCCCUCCUGCCUCUCCCUGCCACCCCUGUGGCCUUUCCUCCGACCGUGCGCACGCCCGGGGCCUCUCUCAGCAGGACACCUGUCCUCCGGGGCAAGAGCCCCCCGCCCGGCCCCGCUGAAUCCUAGUCGCCUCCUGAAAGGCCCCGUCUCUACCUGCAGUCACGCUGCGGGUUACAGGCGUCGGCGAAGGGGUUGGAGGGCCCCGGGCCCCGUUCCUCGCUGGGCCCAGGUGUUCCCUGCUGGCACAAGCAGCAAAAUGAGGUUCGUUUUAUUGGACUCCCUUUAUUGCGCUUCACAGAGGCUGUGCUUUUUUGCAGACUGAAGGGUCGGUGGCAACCCCGAGUUAUCAGAUAGUGGUUGGCACUUUUUAGCGGUAAAAUACUUUUACUAGAUACGUGUAUUGUUUUUAAGACACGGUGCUAUCGCGUGCUCUUAGACUGCCGUAUAGCAGAGCAGAAUUUUCCUCUGCGCUGGGAAACCCAGACAUUUGACUUUGUCGCGACAUUUGACUUUGUCGCGACAUUUGCUUCAUCGUGGUGCUUUUUGCCCCUGAGUCCGUGAUGCCUCCGAGGUCCAUCCGUGUAAGAACUACGUUGAUUCCUGUGCGGUCACCCUUGCCGGGAUCACUUGUUAGUUCCUGGAGGUCUUUGUUUGAAUGCCUUUUAUUUCUUUCUCUUGCCUGGCUGUACCUCAUUUUCUCUUUUCCUCUUGCUCUGUGUUUAUUUUGCUCGUCUCCUUCUAGGUUCUUGAGAUGGGCGCGCAGGUGAACGGUUUGCGACUUCUUCCCUUCUGAUGUGUGCACUUACUGCUCUGGGUGUCCCUCUCUGCUCUGCUUUAGCUGCAGCCUACAGAUUUUGAUAUAUUGUAUUUCAUUCUAUUCAUUUCAGUGUGUCUUUUUAACAAUCUCCCUUUAUACCUUCUUGCUGACCUAUGAUUAUUUUAAAGUGUGGUGUCUAGUUUCCAAGUGUUUUGAUAUUGAUUUCUGUUUUGGUUCUGUUCUGUCGUGAUCAGAGAACACGGUGUGUGUUAUGUAAAUGUGGGGUUUGUUUUACGGCCCCGGACACGGCCUGUCUUGUUAUAUGCCCCACAGACACUUGAGGGUAAUGCGAAUUCUGCCGUGGGGGGUGCAGCGUUCGAAAACGUCGGUUGGGUCCUGUCGUUGAUGGGAUGUUGAUUUUUUUCUCUCUGGCCUCUUGUUGAGAAAGAAAUGGUGUUUCCACUUCCAGUUGUGAACGUAAUCUGUUUUUUCUUUCGAUUCUGUCUCGUUUUUGCUUCCCGGUGCUGCAGGGCUGUUGCGUACGCGCUUGCGGUUGCCGUGUGUCUUGGGGGAUUGAGCCUUUGUCGUUACAGAAUGUCCUUCUCUGCCUGUGGUCGUUUUCUCUUCUCUGAAGUCCACUCAGCCUGGUGUUGACAGAGCCGUUCUGCUUUCCUUUGAUUGAUGUGUAUCUGAUACAUUCUCUUCCACUCUUUCUAACCUGCCAGUGUUGUGGUUCUUAAACGAACGUCUCGUAGCCAGCGCACGGUUGCCCCUGUCUCGCAGCUGGUUUAUGGAGACAGCCUGUUUGUGUGCUCGUUAAUGUGGUAGUGUUUACAUGGGCCGGUCAUUUGUUCUGUUGUCCUUUUCUUCUCUCUGCCUUUCGUUCUGUGCUCUUUUUUGUACCUUUUCCUGUGGGUUAUUGACACGGUCUUCAGAAUUUCAUUUUGGCUCAUCGGCUGUAUUUUUGAGUGUAUCUCUCGGGAUAGCGCUUUUUUUCUGUUUUUCUUGGUUGCUUUGUGUACUGAGCGGCCGGUUGUAGUGAAGUAUUGAAAUGCCACCUUCUUUU